rnacentral:rRNA from 1 species
UUGUAAUGUGAGCAGCCCUGGUGCGUCAGUGCAGGUAAGUGACAUGAAAAUGUUCGCCGUGGAGGGUGAGAGCCCCGUCCAGCCUGCACAGGGCGUGCCGUACAGGGCUGUCUCGAAUGAGUCGGGUAGCUUGGGAAUGCUGCUCUAAGAUCGGUGGUAAAUUUCAUCGAAGGCUAAAUACUGCUGGAAGACCGAUAGUGAACAAGUACCGUGAGGGAAAGAUGAAAAGCACUUUGAAAAGAGGGUGAAAAGAAUCUGAAACCGUUGUGAGGGAAGCGGAUUGCGUUGCAGUAACUGUGGGCGCCGGUGUGUUCAGCCUGUUUCGGCGGGUGUAGUGGCACCGGUGGCUCCGUCUGCUGUGGGUUUGUGGUGGCUGAUUGCAAGGCUGCUGCGGACUGAGGGCUCCGUGCUGCUUUGCGGCGGCACGUGAGGACGGCAGGGUGACGACGCGAUACGACCCGUCUUGAAACACGGACCAAGGAGUCUAGCACAGCUGCGAGUCUGAGGGUGUCAAAGCCUGUGGGCGAAGUGAAAGCGAAAGAUGGCGGUAAUUCCAUAAUUUCAGAAUGACAAAGUUGUUGCAAUUUGGGG